rnacentral:tRNA from 1 species
UUGGUUAAAGCCAAAUAGAGGCAUAUCACUGUUAAUGAUAGAACUGAAGAAAUUUUACUUCUAACCAAG